rnacentral:rRNA from 1 species
CAGUCGCCACGGGAAUACGGAGGGUGCAAGCGUUAUCCGGAUUUAUUGGGUUUAAAGGGUCCGUAGGCGGAUCUGUAAGUCAGUGGUGAAAUCUCACAGCUUAACUGUGAAACUGCCAUUGAUACUGCAGGUCUUGAGUAAAUUUGAAGUGGCUGGAAUAAGUAGUGUAGCGGUGAAAUGCAUAGAUAUUACUUAGAACACCAAUUGCGAAGGCAGGUCACUAAGAUUUAACUGACGCUGAUGGACGAAAGCGUGGGGAGCGAACAGGAUUAGAUACCCGCGUAGUCCCUGUCUCUUAUCA